rnacentral:rRNA from 1 species
UCGAGCGGUAGCACAGAGAGCUUGCUCUCGGGUGACGAGCGGCGGACGGGUGAGUAAUGUCUGGGAAACUGCCUGAUGGAGGGGGAUAACUACUGGAAACGGUAGCUAAUACCGCAUAAUGUCGCAAGACCAAAGUGGGGGACCUUCGGGCCUCAUGCCAUCAGAUGUGCCCAGAUGGGAUUAGCUAGUAGGUGGGGUAACGGCUCACCUAGGCGACGAUCCCUAGCUGGUCUGAGAGGAUGACCAGCCACACUGGAACUGAGACACGGUCCAGACUCCUACGGGAGGCAGCAGUGGGGAAUAUUGCACAAUGGGCGCAAGCCUGAUGCAGCCAUGCCGCGUGUGUGAAGAAGGCCUUCGGGUUGUAAAGCACUUUCAGCGGGGAGGAAGGCGGUAAGGUUAAUAACCUUGUCGAUUGACGUUACCCGCAGAAGAAGCACCGGCUAACUCCGUGCCAGCAGCCGCGGUAAUACGGAGGGUGCAAGCGUUAAUCGGAAUUACUGGGCGUAAAGCGCACGCAGGCGGUCUGUCAAGUCGGAUGUGAAAUCCCCGGGCUCAACCUGGGAACUGCAUUCGAAACUGGCAGGCUAGAGUCUUGUAGAGGGGGAGUAGAAUUCCAGGUGUAGCGGUGAAAUGCGUAGAGAUCUGGAGGAAUACCGGUGGCGAAGGCGGCCCCCUGGACAAAGACUGACGCUCAGGUGCGAAAGCGUGGGGAGCAAACAGGAUUAGAUACCCUGGUAGUCCACGCCGUAAACGAUGUCGAUUUGGAGGUUGUGCCCUUGAGGCGUGGCUUCCGGAGCUAACGCGUUAAAUCGACCGCCUGGGGAGUACGGCCGCAAGGUUAAAACUCAAAUGAAUUGACGGGGGCCCGCACAAGCGGUGGAGCAUGUGGUUUAAUUCGAUGCAACGCGAAGAACCUUACCUGGUCUUGACAUCCACAGAACUUUCCAGAGAUGGAUUGGUGCCUUCGGGAACUGUGAGACAGGUGCUGCAUGGCUGUCGUCAGCUCGUGUUGUGAAAUGUUGGGUUAAGUCCCGCAACGAGCGCAACCCUUAUCCUUUGUUGCCAGCGGUUCGGCCGGGAACUCAAAGGAGACUGCCAGUGAUAAACUGGAGGAAGGUGGGGAUGACGUCAAGUCAUCAUGGCCCUUACGACCAGGGCUACACACGUGCUACAAUGGCAUAUACAAAGAGAAGCGACCUCGCGAGAGCAAGCGGACCUCAUAAAGUAUGUCGUAGUCCGGAUUGGAGUCUGCAACUCGACUCCAUGAAGUCGGAAUCGCUAGUAAUCGUAGAUCAGAAUGCUACGGUGAAUACGUUCCCGGGCCUUGUACACACCGCCCGUCACACCAUGGGAGUGGGUUGCAAAAGAAGUAGGUAGC